rnacentral:lncRNA from 1 species
UUGGCUCUGAGUAAUUUUAUUAAUUGUUGUCGCUCUGAGUCAGAUAAUUGUGAUCCAAUUCAGAUCGUUUUCUUGGGCUCCUCUUCUUUAAUCAUGAUAGAAAUCAGUUGUUCAGCAAGUUCACCCCUCUCCUGAUUCUUUUUUUGGUCUAAUUUAUCAACAGACAGAGAGUCUUCAGGUUUAUUAUUCUAGAUGGAGACAAGGAAGCAAGUCGGAUAAGUUGUUGAUCUCC